rnacentral:lncRNA from 1 species
AAGAAAGGCAAGAAGAGGCCUCGAGGGACUCCUGAGGGUGUGAGGGGGCCUGGCGAAACAUCUCGAGCACAUCCUCAAGUCUCGACCCCUCUGCAACCGAACCUCAGAUCUCCCACUCAUCGGGUCGUCACUCCUCGGUCUCCUUCUGAAGUGGUUGACCUUGAGGAUGACCCGUCUCUUACCGGGGACUUUGAGACUUGCCACCUCGCUCCUGAGCUCGUGAACAAAUACAAGGAGAAGGUGAAGCUCGAGGAUGGGAUGAAGGUCCUCGAGGGUCUUACAGUGAAGGUAAUCUUCGAACUUUCAACUUUAGCCUCAAGUUUUUUGGUCGAGAUUAAUACUUGACAUUUUCUCCAUUUUUUCCAGAUGUUGAGUGUAGCUCGAGGACUUUCUCUGCAAGGGCU